UGGGCUGUGGCUCAGUGGUAGAGCACUUGCCUAGCAUGUGCAGGGUCCUGGGUUCAGUCCCUAGCACCACAA
rnacentral:tRNA from 1 species